GGGCGGUUGUGUGUGAGGGCUGCGGGGGCGGCCCCGCUGCUGCCCGGGCUGCGGAGGGGAGAGCGCCUUGGCCGCUGGGCUGGCUCGUGGUUUCCCCUGGUGCGGAGGCGAGUUGUGCUUCCUGCGGGGAGAGAGAAGGGCCUCGGGAAGCUGCUCCAUGACCCACAGCUGUGCCGAGCCCGGGAGUCUGUCCAGACUUCACAAAGCUCCCCAGGAAAGGAAGCUUUAGAUUCCUCCCCAGCUUUAUGCUAAAGGUUUCCGUCCUCCUGUCUCGGCACCUUUUCUGCUGUUGGGAGAGCACGAGGUGGAUGGAGAGGAUCCCCAGGCAUCUACAGGCACAGGGGACUUGUACAACUGCGAUUUUCCUACAGCCCUCGUGAGAGGGACUUUGAGGGUACUGUGGGUAAUGUGCCAGCUCUCCUGCUGGAGCUUUUCUAUGGAAUAUUUGAACACAAAGAGUAAAGCUAAAGUCAGGUCUGUUCUGGAGUAUGUUACACUUGUGCAAAGCUCCUUCUCUCUGUUUAUUUUCUGUUCUGGAAAGAAUAAUCUGGGGUUCCUGGGCACUUCCUAUUAAAUGAUUCCAUGAAAA